rnacentral:rRNA from 1 species
GGGUGAGUAACACGUGGGUAACCUGCCCAUAAGACUGGGAUAACUCCGGGAAACCGGGGCUAAUACCGGAUAACAUUUUGAACCGCAUGGUUCGAAAUUGAAAGGCGGCUUCGGCUGUCACUUAUGGAUGGACCCGCGUCGCAUUAGCUAGUUGGUGAGGUAACGGCUCACCAAGGCAACGAUGCGUAGCCGACCUGAGAGGGUGAUCGGCCACACUGGGACUGAGACACGGCCCAGACUCCUACGGGAGGCAGCAGUAGGGAAUCUUCCGCAAUGGACGAAAGUCUGACGGAGCAACGCCGCGUGAGUGAUGAAGGCUUUCGGGUCGUAAAACUCUGUUGUUAGGGAAGAACAAGUGCUAGUUGAAUAAGCUGGCACCUUGACGGUACCUAACCAGAAAGCCACGGCUAACUACGUGCCAGCAGCCGCGGUAAUACGUAGGUGGCAAGCGUUAUCCGGAAUUAUUGGGCGUAAAGCGCGCGCAGGUGGUUUCUUAAGUCUGAUGUGAAAGCCCACGGCUCAACCGUGGAGGGUCAUUGGAAGCUGGGAGACUUGAGUGCAGAACAGGAAAGUGGAAUUCCAUGUGUAGCGGUGAAAUGCG